rnacentral:rRNA from 1 species
AACGAACGCUGGCGGCAGGCCUAACACAUGCAAGUCGAGCGGACCCUUCGGGGUUAGCGGCGGACGGGUGAGUAACGCGUGGGAAUAUGCCCUUCUCUACGGAAUAGUCCUGGGAAACUGGGGGUAAUACCGUAUACGCCCUUUGGGGGAAAGACUUAUCGGGGAAGGAUUAGCCCGCGUUGGAUUAGGUAGUUGGUGGGGUCAUGGCCUACCAAGCCGACGAUCCAUAGCUGGUUUGAGAGGAUGAUCAGCCACACUGGGACUGAGACACAGCCCAGACACCUACGGGAGGCAGCAGUGGGGAAUCUUAGACAAUGGGGGCAACCCUGAUCUAGCCAUGCCGCGUGAGUGAGGAAGGCCUUAGGGUUGUAAAGCUCUUUCAGCUGAGAAGAUAAUGACGGUACCAGCAGAAGAAGCCCCGGCUAACUCCGUG